rnacentral:rRNA from 1 species
AGAAUCAACGCUGGCGGCGUGCCUAACACAUGCAAGUCGAACGAGAAAGUGGAGCAAUCCAUGAGUAAAGUGGCGCACGGGUGAGUAACACGUGACUAACCUACCCUUGAGUGGGGAAUAACUUCGGGAAACCGAGGCUAAUACCGCAUAACACCUACGGGUCAAAGGAGCAAUUCGCUUAAGGAGGGGGUCGCGGCAGAUUAGUUAGUUGGCGGGGUAAUGGCCCACCAAGACGGUGAUCUGUAUCCGGCCUGAGAGGGCGCACGGACACACUGGAACUGAAACACGGUCCAGACUCCUACGGGAGGCAGCAGUGGGAAUUUUGCGCAAUGGGGGAAACCCUGACGCAGCAACGCCGCGUGGAGGAUGAAGUCCCUUGGGGACGUAAACUCCUUUCGAUCGGGACGAUUAUGACGGUACCGGAAGAAGAAGCCCCGGCUAACUUCGUGCCAGCAGCCGC